UCUCGAGCGAGUGGCGAACGGGUGAGUAACGCGUGAGGAAUCUGCCUCAAAGAGGGGGACAACAGUUGGAAACGACUGCUAAUACCGCAUAAGCCCACGGCUCGGCAUCGAGCAGAGGGAAAAGGAGCAAUCCGCUUUGAGAUGGCCUCGCGUCCGAUUAGCUAGUUGGUGAGGUAAUGACCCACCAAGGCGACGAUCGGUAGCCGGACUGAGAGGUUGAACGGCCACAUUGGGACUGAGAUACGGCCCAGACUCCUACGGGAGGCAGCAGUGGGGAAUAUUGCACAAUGGGGGAAACCCUGAUGCAGCGACGCCGCGUGGAGGAAGAAGGUCUUCGGAUUGUAAACUCCUGUUGUUGAGGAAGAUAAUGACGGUACUCAACAAGGAAGUGACGGCUAACUACGUGCCAGCAGCCGCGGUAAAACGUAGGUCACAAGCGUUGUCCGGAAUUACUGGGUGUAAAGGGAGCGCAGGCGGGAAGACAAGUUGGAAGUGAAAUCCAUGAGCUCAACCCAUGAAUUGCUUUCAAAACUGUUUUUCUUGAGUAGUGCAGAGGUAAGCGGAAUUCCUAGUGUAGCGGUGAAAUGCGUAGAUAUUAGGAGGAACACCAGUGGCGAAGGC
rnacentral:rRNA from 1 species